rnacentral:rRNA from 1 species
GCCGUAGGGGGCAAGCGUUGUCCGGAAUUACUGGGCGUAAAGGGCGUGUAGGCGGUGCGAUACGCAGCGGUUUUAAGCCUCCGGCUCACCCGGAGGAGGGCGGCUAAACGGUCGCACUGGAGGGCAGGAGAGGUGCGUGGAAUUCCUGGUGGAGCGGUGAAAUGCGUAGAGAUCAGGAAGAACACCAGUGGCGAAGGCGGCGCACUGGCCUGGCCCUGACGCUGAGGCGCGACAGCGUGGGGAGCAAACGGG